GGAACAAACCUGCACAUUGUGCACAUGUACCCUAAAACUUAAAGUAUAAUAAUAAUAAAACUUUAAAAAAUAAAAAUAAAAAAUAAACCUAUAAGUUAAAGUAAUUUGAUACUGACCGAGGACUAGAUUAAGAAUCAGCAAACUUUAUUGUUGAAGGAAGUAAGACUUAGAAGAGUUUAAGUUGACCAAGGCCACAGAACUCCAAAUGAAUAGUGUCAGACUUUCAAACCCACACUCAACCACACUGUAAUGCUGCCUUCCUAAAAUAUACAUUAAUACAUGUAUUCAGAAAAACUAUGAAUAAGAAGUACCUAAAAAUAUUAAUAUUAGUUAUCUGUAGGUGAUAGAAUUAUGGGAUGA
rnacentral:lncRNA from 1 species